UACGUAGGGUGCAAGCGUUGUCCGGAAUUAUUGGGCGUAAAGAGCUCGUAGGCGGUCUGUCGCGUCUGCUGUGAAAACUCGGGGCUUAACCCCGAGCCUGCAGUGGAUACGGGCAGACUAGAGGUAGGUAGGGGAGAAUGGAAUUCCCGGUGUAGCGGUGAAAUGCGCAGAUAUCAGGAGGAACACCGGUGGCGAAGGCGGGUCUCUGGGCCGAUACUGACGCUGAGGAGCGAAAGCGUGGGGAGCGAACAGG
rnacentral:rRNA from 1 species